AAAGCGUUUGUCCAUAAAAGAGGGUUCAUUACCAACUUUAUUUAGAACAACGAGCAUCUCCGAAUCACAGAGAGAUAUCUAUAGAAAGCUUGACAUGUCUACUUUAAAACUAAACAAGUGCUGCCGAAAUCAGAUUUUCUAUGAUAAAGUAAUCCAUAUGAAAACAACGCUAUGUCCGUUUUUCACUUCUCCCUUCUAAUGUGGCCACGCCCCCGCGCUGAACGCGCUAUUCAGAUUCAAACUGAAGCGCACGGUUUGAAUAAACCCACACAGAAGAAAACGCUUUUUAUUUUACUGUUUGUUUCGCGAUGAGAGGAAUAAGACAUAAUUCACCCCAAAAAGAUGCUAACGCAUAGUUUACCGUGGAGGUGUGUGCGGAACAACCAAUCAAACCUGACUAUGUCAGUUGACCAAUCAGAACACAGUAUGCUACCGAAAGGUGGGGUUUAAGGAAACUGAAUCUUUUGAACAGCUUCGCGCGAACCGUUUGGGGAUCUCUGAGAAUUUAGGUAAUUUUAAAAUGAUAUUUUGACAAAAUGACAAUGUUUUUUUUAACCUUGGAUGGAUUUAAACCUAAUGUACAGGACUUAUAAACAGUGAUAGGAAGCUUAGAAUUUUCAUCUUACUGGCUCUUUAAUGUCUUGCUCCUGGCCUUUAGAUUGCAUGUAAUGUUAGAGAUCAAUAUACUCUCAACAAGACUUAAGUAAACAUUUUUGCUCUCAUAAAAGCUGUUUAUUUUUCAUAAUAGGUACAAUCAUUGGAUUGUUUUCUUGCCAAUGUUCCAGAGCUCUCAUGAGUUUGAUGCACGGAAGCUGCUGAUGGGAAUAAAUGUUUUACUACAGGCAGACCGGAGAUGUGUAGAGAGCUGUCAGGAGCGUUUGAAUCAGAUUCAAACAUCCUCCCAGUGGCAGAUGGCAGGAGAUGGCCCGAGCCGCAAGUGACGAGAGACCUGCAAAGGGGACAUGCUCUGUGCAUGUGUGUAUGUGAAAAUGAUGAGACUAUGUUCGCCCCUCGUCUGGACUACUGUCUGUUUGGACUAUCUGUUUAACUCGCCCCCUGGAUUAUGUUAGCCGUUGAUUGACCUAUGACUGUUCACUGGACUGCUCUUGUGUCUUGCCCUCAAUAUACUGGUUUGCCGGAGUUCAACCCCGCCUGUGGAGGACCAUGUCUAUGAAUAAAGCUUUGCGUAUGGAUCCCCAUUUCUCGCGUCUCUUUCACUCCGUAACAGAGAACAUCUUGGUUGUAAUCUUGUUGACAUGCCAUGAACAUGAAACACCUUGUAUGAUGAGUCACCUUUAAGUAUGGCAAUUUCGCAUUCAUUCUCUAACAGUGGUUUUUAAACUUUUUAAGGCAGGCAGGUAGCUCAUUUAAUAUAACAGGAAUUCGCUAAUCUAAGAGCUGGUUAAUCGUAAUUAUGUGAAAUUACAUUUUAAAAUGCUCAUAUUCAGACUGCAGUUACUUUUAAUUUGUUAUGUGAUAUUCACACAAUAGCAAUAAAUUAUUAAUUAUUUAUUGAUUCUCCCUAAUUCCUCUUUUUCAUCUUUUAAAUGUUCCUUUCCAAAAUAGCCAACUGCUUAUAGUCUUGUCAAUUUUAUGGACAUUCACAAAAAAAUAAAAAACCUUCAUUAGUCAGGUGGCUACACAGCGUUUGACCACUGGAUUUAUAAAACUGAUUUCAGGUUUAAGAACAUUGCAUUGAUGCUCAUUUUUAUUUGAAUUAUCACUCUCUAUGCUAUUUAACCAUGAUAACUAUAUGUAUUACUGAGUCUUUGAGAGGGGGGUGACUUAUAAAAAUAUAAAAAUGCACAAAUCCAUUGCAUAUAAUGCAGGCAUUUGUAAGCUUUUAUCAUCUGAACCUCUUUCACCAUAUGUAGUUAGUUGAACUACCCCUGAGAUUUUAAAAAUAAAUAUUUAAUUCAUUAAGUAUAAUUUUUGCAUUAUUACGGUUCUCUGAGGCGGGUUAAUUGUCACAUGACCUUAUUAUUUUUUUUUUAGUAAGUGUUUUAUUUUGAUUGAUUUUAUUUUAAAAUGAUUUAUUUUCAUUCCUUAUUUUUAUGAUUUAAUUAAUUAUCAGCUUAAACUAACAAACACCCUCCAGUUUAGGAACACAUAAUGGUAUGUUCAAUGCACUUCAUGUUGUUAAUUACAACAAAUGGAAUUUAUUUUCUUAUUCUUUGUAUUUUUAUAUCAAUAUGGUUCCAAUUAAAUCAGUGUGUUAAACAGGUUAGGUGAAAAGACAUUUAAAAAUAGUCUAAUUAUAUUACCCAAAAAUGUGUAAUGUAAUGGAUUAUGUUACUUACUAUAAUUUUGUCAUGUAAUUUGGUACCCAGUACCCAGAUCUAUGUGUGUGUCAACUUAUAUUGGAUUUAUAUUGAAUUAUAUUUUUAUAAUUAUAUUGAAUAUAUUUGAAUUACAUUU
rnacentral:lncRNA from 1 species